GAGUUUGAUCUUGGCUCAGAGUGAACGCUGGCGGUAGGCCUAACACAUGCAAGUCGAACGGCAGCACAGGAGAGCUUGCUCUCUGGGUGGCGAGUGGCGGACGGGUGAGGAAUACAUCGGAAUCUACCUUUUCGUGGGGGAUAACGUAGGGAAACUUACGCUAAUACCGCAUACGACCUACGGGUGAAAGUGGGGGACCGCAAGGCCUCACGCGAUUAGAUGAGCCGAUGUCCGAUUAGCUAGUUGGCGGGGUAAUGGCCCACCAAGGCGACGAUCGGUAGCUGGUCUGAGAGGAUGAUCAGCCACACUGGAACUGAGACACGGUCCAGACUCCUACGGGAGGCAGCAGUGGGGAAUAUUGGACAAUGGGCGCAAGCCUGAUCCAGCCAUACCGCGUGGGUGAAGAAGGCCUCGGUUGU
rnacentral:rRNA from 1 species